UACGUAGGGGGCUAGCGUUGUCCGGAAUCAUUGGGCGUAAAGAGCGUGUAGGCGGCCCGGUAAGUCCGCUGUAAAAGUCAAAGGCUCAACCUUUGAAUGUCAGUGGAUACUGCCGGGCUAGAGUCCGGAAGAGGCGAGUGGAACUCCUGGUGUAGCGGUGGAAUGCGCAGAUAUCAGGAAGAACACCAACGGCGAAGGCAGCUCGCUGGGACGGAACUGACGCUAAGGCGCGAAAGCGUGGGGAGCGAACAGG
rnacentral:rRNA from 1 species